rnacentral:rRNA from 1 species
UACGAAGGGGGCUAGCGUUGCUCGGAAUCACUGGGCGUAAAGCGCACGUAGGCGGAUUUUUAAGUCAGGGGUGAAAUCCUGGAGCUCAACUCCAGAACUGCCUUUGAUACUGGGAAUCUCGAGUCCGGGAGAGGUGAGUGGAACUGCGAGUGUAGAGGUGAAAUUCGUAGAUAUUCGCAAGAACACCAGUGGCGAAGGCGGCUCACUGGCCCGGUACUGACGCUGAGGCACGAAAGCGUGGGGAGCAAACAGG